UUCGUUCAUCUAUUCACAGACGGAAGUAGGAAUUAACCGAAGGAACGCAUC
rnacentral:ncRNA from 10 species